UGGGGAAUUUUGGACAAUGGGGGAAACCCUGAUCCAGCCAUCCCGCGUGUGCGAUGAAGGCCUUCGGGUUGUAAAGCACUUUUGGCAGGAAAGAAACGUCAUGGGUUAAUACCCCGUGAAACUGACGGUACCUGCAGAAUAAGCAACGGCUAACUACGUGACAGCAGCCGCGGUAAUACGUAGGGUGCAAGCGUUAAUCGGAAUUACUGGGCGUAAAGCGUGCGCAGGCGGUUCGGAAAGAAAGAUGUGAAAUCCCAGAGCUCAACUUUGGAACUGCAUUUUUAACUACCGGGCUAGAGUGUGUCAGAGGGAGGUGGAAUUCCGCGUGUAGCAGUGAAAUGCGUAGAUAUGCGGAGGAACACCGAUGGCGAAGGCAGCCUCCUGGGAUAACACUGACGCUCAUGCACGAAAGCGUGGGGAGCAAACAGG
rnacentral:rRNA from 1 species